CCUACGGGAGGCAGCAGUGGGGGAUAUUGCACAAUGGGGGGAACCCUGAUGCAGCGACGCCGCGUGGGUGAAGAAGCGCCUCGGCGCGUAAAGCCCUGUCAGCAGGGAAGAAAAUGACGGUACCUGAAGAAGAAGCCCCGGCUAACUACGUGCCAGCAGCCGCGGUAAUACGUAGGGGGCAAGCGUUAUCCGGAUUUACUGGGUGUAAAGGGGGCGCAGACGGCGAUGCAAGCCAGGAGUGAAAGCCCGGGGGCCAACCCCGGGACUGCUCUUGGAACUGCGUGGCUGGAGUGCAGGAGGGGCAGGCGGAAUUCCUGGUGUAGCGGUGAAAUGCGUAGAUAUCAGGAGGAACACCGGUGGCGAAGACGGCCUGCUGGACUGCAACUGACGUUGAGGCCCGAAAGCGUGGGGAGCAAACAGGAUUAGAUACCCUGGUAGUC
rnacentral:rRNA from 1 species